rnacentral:rRNA from 1 species
UACAGAGGUCUCAAGCGUUGUUCGGAUUCAUUGGGCGUAAAGGGCGCGUAGGCGGCUUGGCAAGUGGAUGGUGAAAUCCCUCGGCUUAACCGAGGAACUGCCGUCCAAACUGCUUAGCUUGAGACCGGGAGAGGUGAGUGGAAUUCCCAGUGUAGCGGUGAAAUGCGUAGAUAUUGGGAGGAACACCAGUGGCGAAGGCGGCUCACUGGACCGGUACUGACGCUGAGGCGCGAAAGCGUGGGGAGCAAACAGG